ensembl:snRNA U6 U6 spliceosomal RNA
GUGCUCGCUUCAGCAGCAUAUAUACUAAAAUUGGAAUGAUACAGAGAAGAUUAGCAUGAUCCCUGUGCAAGGAUGAAAUACAAAUUCAUGAAGCAUUCCAUAUUUUU